rnacentral:rRNA from 1 species
AACGAACGCUGGCGGCAGGCUUAACACAUGCAAGUCGAACGGAUCCUUCGGGAUUAGUGGCGGACGGGUGAGUAACACGUGGGAACGUGCCCUUUGGUUCGGAACAACUCAGGGAAACUUGAGCUAAUACCGGAUGUGCCCUUCGGGGGAAAGAUUUAUCGCCAUUGGAGCGGCCCGCGUCUGAUUAGCUAGUUGGUGAGGUAAAGGCUCACCAAGGCGACGAUCAGUAGCUGGUCUGAGAGGAUGAUCAGCCACAUUGGGACUGAGACACGGCCCAAACUCCUACGGGAGGCAGCAGUGGGGAAUCUUGCGCAAUGGGCGAAAGCCUGACGCAGCCAUGCCGCGUGAAUGAUGAAGGUCUUAGGAUUGUAAAAUUCUUUCACCGGGGACGAUAAUGACGGUACCCGGAGAAGAAGCCCCGGCUAACUUCGUGCCAGCCGCCGCCGUAAUAC